UUCAAGUUUAUUAUUGAAGGCAAAAGGAUAAGGGACAUCCUAACUAGAUUGGUACAAUUAGAAGGGUUGAGAAUGAUCAACAACAAUCCCAAUCAAGUAGUUAGAAGAAAUAAGUUUCCUGUUAUUUAAGGAGACUAAGAAGAGAUAACUGCAACAACAGAGGCUAUUUGUAGAUAACAGCGGAACUGAGAGUCAUCAUAGGGUAUUUAAGAUUUUGUAUUUUG
rnacentral:misc_RNA from 1 species